rnacentral:rRNA from 1 species
UACAGAGGGUGCGAGCGUUGUCCGGAAUCACUGGGCGUAAAGCGCGUGUAGGCGGGCCGCCGCGUCGGCUGCUGAAAUCCCCCGGCUCAACCGGGGAAGGGGCACCGAUACGGGCGGCCUGGAGGGGGGUAGGGGGGGCCUGGAACGUUCCGGUGGAGCGGUGAAAUGCGUUGAGAUCGGAAGGAACGCCCGUGGCGAAAGCGAGGCCCUGGACCCUUACUGACGCUGAGACGCGAAAGCCAGGGGAGCGAACGGG